ensembl:miRNA gga-mir-12265 gga-mir-12265
AUGGCUGUGAGUGCGGCUGAGGUGUCAGAGCAUCCUCCUCAGCCGUCUUGCAGCCUCCU